AGUGAUAACGAUGACACGAUAACGUAAUUGAAACAACGACGUACGUAAAAUCUCCAGAUUUUUACCAAAAAACAGUAAUGAAAAUGGUAUAAACUGUCACUUAUUAAUUUAAAUAAACUUUUCACUCUUUGUUCGUGACGUAGAUUAUGCAUUUAUAGUAUCAAUAAACAAAUCGCUAAUUCAAUUUUUCCGAAAACGAACUCGAAUAAGUAAAUCUAAUAUCACCGUCAACAUAAUACCUAGACCUACGUGCAAAAAUAAAUCGCUCGGAACAACACAACAAUAUUGAAGAUUUGAUCAUAAGUUUAUCUACAUACAUUUUACCAUGGCAGAGAGAAAUCCAGAAGAGCUCCAACCAUCAGAGAUUUCGAGACUAAGAGCUGAAUUAGCUGAUCUGAGGGUUGGCAUGCAAAAUUUGAAAGAUAAAAUAGCUCUGUUCCGUGGCGAAAUAGCCCUUUCAGACAGUAGGGAUCUAAAUUUAGAGGUGUAUGAAUAUUUUCCCUCUGAGAACUCCAAUGCUGGUCCCUUGAAGUUGAGCCGCUCAAUGAUUAAUAAAAGGUUGAAAAAAUAUGGACUCGUUAUAUGCAAGAAUAUUGAAUCGUCUAAAUCCAGAUUUGGGAGAGAGAAUUAGACUCUCCACUCCAGUUUAUAGCCGCAGAUGUCCCCGCUCCAUUACAGUUCCAUUUGAAUCGAGAUGCGGCUGUUACCCACGGAAAAUGAAUUCUGUAAAUAAACAUAAAAUUCUCUAUUAAAUUUUUAUCAAAGUUCA